UACAGGGGGUGCAAACGUUGCUCGGAAUUAUUGGGCGUAAAGCGCGCGUAGGCGGCUACUUAAGUCGGAUGUGAAAGCCCUUGGCUCAACUGAGGAAGUGCACCCGAAACUGAGUGGCUUGAGUACGAAAGAGGGUCGCGGAAUUCCCGGUGUAGAGGUGAAAUUCGUAGAUAUCCGGAGGAACACCGGUGGCGAAGGCGGCUUCCUGGACCGACACUGACGCUGAGGCGCGAAAGCUAGGGGAGCAAACGGG
rnacentral:rRNA from 1 species